AUACGGAGGAUCCGAGCGUUAUCCGGAUUUAUUGGGUUUAAAGGGUGCGCAGGCGGCCAUUUAAGUCAGCGGUUAAAUCGUGGGGCUCAACCCCAUUCUGCCGUUGAUACUGGGUGGCUUGAUUGCGGUCGAGGUUGGCGGAAUUCGUUGUGUAGCGGUGAAAUGCAUAGAUAUGACGAAGAACACCGAUUGCGUAGGCAGCUGACCAGACCGCAAAUGACGCUCAUGCACGAAAGUGCGGGGAUCGAACAGGAUUAGAUACCCUGGUAGUCCGCACAGUAAACGAUGAAUACUUGUUUUCGGCGAUAUAAUGUCGGAGGCAAAGCGAAAGCGAUAAGUGUUCCACCUGGGGAGUACGCCGGCAACGGUGAAACUCAAAGGAAUUGACGGGG
rnacentral:rRNA from 1 species